rnacentral:rRNA from 1 species
CCUACGGGGGGCAGCAGUCGAGAAUCAUUCACAAUGGGGGAAACCCUGAUGGUGCGACGCCGCGUGGAGGAUGACAGCUCUAGGGUUGUAAACUCCUGUCAUGAGAGAGUAAAGGCUUGCCGUUAAUAGCGGUCGGGUCCUGAUAGUAUCUCAAGAGGAAGGGACGGCUAACUUCGUGCCAGCAGCCGCGGUAAUACGAAGGUCCCAAGCGUUGUUCGGAAUCACUGGGCGUAAAGCGUGCGUAGGCGGCAUGGUAAGUCAGAUGUGAAAGCCCGGGGCUCAACUCCGGAACUGCAUCCGAUACUGCCAAGCUAGAGUAGUGGAGGGGAGUCUGGAAUUCACGGUGUAGCAGUGAAAUGCGUAGAGAUCGUGAGGAACACUAGUGGCGAAGGCGAGACUCUGGACACUAACUGACGCUGAGGCACGAAGGCUAGGGUAGCGAAAGGGAUUAGAUACCCCUGUAGUCCUAGCAGUAGACGGUGCGCGUUUGGUGUGGGCGGGUUCGACCCCGUCCGUGCCGGAGCUAACGCGUUAAACGCGCCGCCUGGGGAGUACGGCCGCAAGGCUAAAACUCAAAGAAAUUGACGGGGACCCGCACAAGCGGUGGAGUAUGUGGCUUAAUUCGAUGCAACGCGAAGAACCUUACCUAGGCUUGACAUGCUUGUCGUAGUUCUGUGAAAGCAGAUCGUCGGUUCGGCCGGACUUGCACAGGUGCUGCAUGGCUGUCGUCAGCUCGUGUCGUGAGAUGUUGGGUUAAGUCCCGCAACGAGCGCAACCCCUAUGAUUAGUUGCCAGCGAGUAAUGUCGGGGACUCUAGUCAGACUGCCUGUAUUAAACAGGAGGAAGGUGGGGAUGACGUCAAGUCAGUAUGGCCCUUACGCCUAGGGCUGCACACGUACUACAAUGCCCAGUACAAUGUGAACCGAUACCGCAAGGUGGAGGAAAUCCUCAAAACUGGGCUCAGUUCGGAUUGUGGGCUGCAACUCGCCCACAUGAAGCUGGAAUCGCUAGUAAUGGCACAUCAGCUACGGUGCCGUGAAUACGUUCCCGGGUCUUGCACACACCGCCCGUC